rnacentral:rRNA from 1 species
AGUGAACGCUGGCGGCGUGCUUAACACAUGCAAGUCGAACGAGAACGGGUUAUAACUUGUUAUAACUGUCAGCUAAGUGGCGCACGGGUGAGUAAUGUAUAGGUAAUAUGCCUCUUAGUAAAGGAUAACAAAUGGAAACGUUUGCUAAUACUUUAUACUCCUUAUUAACUUAAGUUAAUAAGGGAAAGAUUUAUCGCUAAGAGAUUGGCCUGUAUUGUAUCAGUUAGUUGGUGGGGUAAUGGCCUACCAAGACUAUGACGCAUAACUGGUUUGAGAGGAUGAUCAGUCACACUGGAACUGAGACACGGUCCAGACUCCUACGGGAGGCAGCAGUGGGGAAUAUUGCACAAUGGACGGAAGUCUGAUGCAGCAACGCCGCGUGGAGGAUGACACAUUUCGGUGCGUAAACUCCUUUUAUAUAAGAAGAUAAUGACGGUAUUAUAUGAAUAAGCACCGGCUAACUCCGUGCCAGCAGCCGCGGUAAGUGC